rnacentral:rRNA from 1 species
GACGAACGCUGGCGGCGUGCUUAACACAUGCAAGUCGAACGGAAAGGCCCUGCUUUUGUGGGGUGCUCGAGUGGCGAACGGGUGAGUAACACGUGAGUAACCUGCCCUUGACUUUGGGAUAACUUCAGGUAACUGGGGCUAAUACCGGAUAGGAGCUCCUGCUGCAUGGUGGGGGUUGGAAAGUUUCUGCGGUUGGGGAUGGACUGGCGGCUUAUGAGCUUGUUGGUUGGGUAGUGGCUUACCCAGGCUUUGACCGGUCGCCGGCCUGGGAGGGUGGCCGGGGACAAUGGGACUGAGGUAGGGCGCAGUGGCCUACGGGAGGCAGCAGGGGGGAGUAUUGCACAAUGGGAGGAAGCCUGAUGCAGCGACGUCGCGGGCGGGAUGACGGUCUUCGGGUAGAAAACCGCUUUCGCCUGUGACGCAGCGUGAGUGACGGUAAUGGGUAAAGAAGCACCGGCUAACUACGUG